UCUUAUGGCCUAGUCUUUUGAGCAUCCGCCUCAGAUGCAGGAGGUCGUGGGUUCAAUCCCCGGCUGAGUCAU